rnacentral:rRNA from 1 species
UUUAAAUUGAGAGUUUGAUCCUGGCUCAGGAUGAACGCUGGCGGCGUGCUUAACACAUGCAAGUCGAGCGAUGAAGUUUCCUUCGGGAAACGGAUUAGCGGCGGACGGGUGAGUAACACGUGGGUAACCUGCCUCAUAGAGUGGAAUAGCCUUCCGAAAGGAAGAUUAAUACCGCAUAAUGUUGAAAGAUGGCAUCAUCAUUCAACCAAAGGAGCAAUCCGCUA